GACGAACGCUGGCGGCGUGCUUAACACAUGCAAGUCGAACGGAAAGGCCCUGCUUGCAGGGUACUCGAGUGGCGAACGGGUGAGUAACACGUGGGUGAUCUGCCCUGCACUUCGGGAUAAGCCUGGGAAACUGGGUCUAAUACCGGAUAGGAGCCAUUUUUAGUGUGAUGGUUGGAAAGUUUUUUCGGUGUAGGAUGAGCUCGCGGCCUAUCAGCUUGUUGGUGGGGUAAUGGCCUACCAAGGCGGCGACGGGUAGCCGGCCUGAGAGGGUGGACGGCCACAUUGGGACUGAGAUACGGCCCAGACUCCUACGGGAGGCAGCAGUGGGGAAUAUUGCACAAUGGGCGCAAGCCUGAUGCAGCGACGCCGCGUGGGGGAUGACGGCCUUCGGGUUGUAAACUCCUUUCGCUAGGGACGAAGCUCUUGUGACGGUACCUAGAUAAGAAGCACCGGCUAACUACGUG
rnacentral:rRNA from 1 species